ensembl:lncRNA
GCGCCACAGCGCGAAAACUUUAAAAUGGACCCAGAAAUGUCGCUCCGUUGUUUGGACAAUUUUAUUUCUCGAGGAGCUAGAAAAACCUUAUCAUCGUCGCCCGCACGUUUUGUACCUUAGGCUCAUCAGAGACAAUCAUAUCCAGUGGUGUGGCAGCCACGAGUGAGCCAGCCCUGCAAACCCUGUUGAUGGACGAUGCAGUGGACAGUGGGAGGAAGCAUCCUGAAGCUCUUUGCAGACCACCCUGUGUGAUUCUCCACUCGCCCACCAAAAGACAAACCACAGGUGGCUGAGCCGCUUCGUCAUCGCUGUCGUUU